UUCAUUUGCAUUAUAUAUAAAAGUUAGAUCUGUAAUCUUCACCAGUUAAAUGGAUUUUAUAUUAUUACGUAUAAAGCGACUUAAUUCCCCGCAUGAAUUAUUACAAACAGAUUCGGCUUGGUAAGCAAAUCUUUACCUAUUCACGAAAUUUUGGCUAAAAUUGUAAAAGGGGGCGGUAAAUAACCAAUAUCAAUUACAAAAAAAAUCGUGACAAAAAUAAAUUUAAUAUUCAGUUGUGUUAAGUAUAAGUUACGUUUAAAUAUAGACAGUAAAAGUCCCGCGUGAGGGGAGAAACAACCUAUUUAUGAUAAAAUAGUUAUAUGUGCGUAUAGGAUACAGUUCUAAAAUAAUUCAAAGACGAGAGUUAAAAUAAAAUGACUACCACACUCAACAAAGAGGUUGUCGAAUUAGUACACAGACAUAAAUCAACGCGGGAACUGGUUCAAGAACAAGUCAAUUUCUCAAAACAAACGGGGAGUGAUGACCCAUUUGUUAUCUGUGACCUGGGAAACAUUAUAGACAAAUAUCAACAAUGGACCAGGCUAUUGCCCAGAGUAAAACCUUUCUUCGGUUUGUAUAAAUAUUACAACAAUAAUAAUUAUGCUCCAAUAAAUAU